rnacentral:rRNA from 1 species
GACGAACGCUGGCGGCGUGCUUAACACAUGCAAGUCGAGCGGAGCGGCGAACGGGUGAGUAACGCGUGAGUAACUGCCCCCCUCUCUGGGAUAACAGUUGGAAACGGCUGCGAAUACCGGAUAGUGGGGUAUGACUCGCGUCCUAGCAGCUUGUGGGUGGGGUAGUGGCCUACCAGGGCGACGACGGGUAGACGGCCUGAGAGGGCGACCGGCCACAUUGGUGUAGGAUCCGUCCCAAACUCCUACGGGAGUCAGCAGGGGGGAAUAUUGCACAAUGGGGGCAACCCUGAUGCAGCAACGCCGCGUGAGUGAGGAAGGUUUUCGGGUCGUAAAGCUCUGUUGUUAAGGUAGAAUGGAAAGUUCAUGCUGUGACGGUACUUUACCAGAAAGGGACGGCUAACUACGUGCCAGCAGCCGCGGUAAUAC